GAUGAACGCUGGCGGCGUGCCUAAUACAUGCAAGUCGAGCGGACAGAUGCUGAGCUUGCUCCUCUCACGUUAGCGGCGGACGUGUGAGUAACACGUGUAUAACCUACCUAUCAUACUGGGAUAACUUCGGGACACCGGAUCUAAUACCGUAUAAUAUAUUGCACCGCAUUGUUCAAUAGUGAAAGUCGGCUUUUCUGUCACUUAUAGCUGGAUCCGGGCCGCGUUGGCUAGUUGGUAAGGUAACGGCUUACCAAGGGAACGAUGCGUAUCCGACGGGACAGGGUGGUCGGCGACAUGGGAGGGGGAACAGGGACAAGGCGCCUAAGGGAGGGAGCAGAAGGGUACCGGACGCAGUGGGGGAAAACCUGACGGAACAACGCGGCGUGAGAGACGACGGCCUUGGGAGCGUAAAACUCUGUUAUUAGGGGAGAACAAAUGUGUAAGGAACUAUGCCCGGAUUGACGGUACCUAAUAAAAAAGCAACGGCUAACUACGUG
rnacentral:rRNA from 1 species